CUGAAAACAACUUAUGACACGACUGACGAGAAAACACUUCAAUUUGGAUUCUUAAUUAUUUUCUCUUCUCACAGAAAGAAUGCUUUGCUACACUAUUCCCUGUCUACUACUUGCAGUAUCACCUGUAAUAUUUUCAUCACAAAUUGUACCAGAAAAAGAAAGUGAAGUCAGCGGUAUUUUAUAUAAGAUUUUGACAUCAGACAUUGACCCGGAAAUAAAACGAAAACUUUUAUUGGUGGACUAUUUAGGUAAACUUUCCACACAACAUGAAAUAGAAGAUGAUACGGAACCGUUCAGUGAUCUACCAAAACGAUCUCAUAUGUGGUUUAGGCAUAGUUCGGGAAAUAUUCCAAUUCAAACAAGACUAUCGUUUGGUCAACCUCUCAGUCGGAAUGGUAUCGGUUCGAUACACAAAAUUAGAUAUGGCAAAAAAUAGAAACUCACAACAUUCAAAUUUGUGAUAUACCGAGUUUAUGCAAUUUGUGUAGACACUGUUUUGUUAAAAUAAUUAUUGUGAAGUCGUCUGUGUGUUGGUGGAUACCGACAUGAAAACUAAACUACAUGUAUAGCAAAAGAACUCAAAAGACUACGGGAAUUUUUCGCAGACGAAUAAAAAAAUUGGUUUCAGUAUAUUAUUUUGACUGUUAAUUAUCUUAAAGUAUUAUCACUUUUAUGUAAAACAUAUAAACUUAAACAAACAAAUGAAUACAUUUUGUCACAUACGUAGGUCUUCGAAAUAAAUGAUGAAAACUCA